rnacentral:rRNA from 1 species
UACAGAGGUCUCAACCGUUGUUCGGAUUCAUUGGGCGUAAAGGGUGCGUAGGCGGUCGCGCAAGUCGGAUGUGAAAUCUUAGGGCUCAACCCUGAAACUGCAUUCGAUACUGCGUGGCUCGAGUACUGGAGAGGAGACUGGAAUUUACGGUGUAGCAGUGAAAUGCGUAGAUAUCGUAAGGAAGACCAGCGGCGAAGGCGAGUCUCUGGACAGUUACUGACGCUGAGGCACGAAGGCCAGGGGAACAAACGGG